CCGUCCAGCCUCCAAUUCCCACCUCUCUUUCCAAAGCUUUGGAAGAGAGGGCUUGUGGCGGACGUAGAUCAAAUUGACUCUUACUUUAGGAGGGUUUCUCAGAGCUCUGAAUUGCCCUCAAAGGCACAGGAGGACAUA
ensembl:scaRNA